UUUGUCAUUGAAAACACCUGAAAGGGAAGAUAGUGGAAAUGUAAACUGCUGUCUUAUAAAAUCUUGAACAAAUCUGAGUUUCCAGCUAUAUUGCACUUACAAUGAGUCCCAGGAGGGAAACUGGGGCACUUUGUAUUAUGGACUCUUCUGCUUUUCCAUUAUUCCAUACUGCUUCAUGGUCAGAACCUGGAUCUGAGGCAUGACACUGAAUGAUAACAAACCUGUGUGGCUUUGGAUAUCAAGAAGAGAAGAGAGGAGACUCUUCACUCCCACUCCCACCAACGCCUACUACUGAUCAGAUGCCUCGAAUGGGCAAUGAAGCCAAUGAGCCCUGGGAAUAGCAUAACCAGUCCCACUGCAGACGAUCAACUCUGCUGUCAGCCUGGCCCCCACAGCUGUUGUCCAGGGCAAGCAAGCCUUGUAGAAUGUAGAAAUGCCAACUGUUGACAUCCUGUAAUAGCCUCUGUCUACUUAGCAGCCAUAGCUACUGAAGACUCAGAAAAGAAAAGAAAGUUCAAAUGGGAUAGUAAUUAUAAAGUACUUAGCAUAGUGUUUGGCAUUAAUAAAUGCUAGUGCCCUCCCCCUUUCCCUUGCCACCAAAGUCCUUGGCACUUUCAAUUGGUUCAACAGCAGAAAUAGCUAUAGUUUUAUAACUGGAAAUGGCAUUAAGGAAGAUUCAUUACCAUCUGUUUUGCUUUUGUACCAUACGGACUGCUGGAGCUUUCUAUUUGACUUGCAAUUUAAACUUCUGAUAUGUUUUAUCUUUCCCUAAUUGAAUAAGAGUUCCUUAACAAGUAGGGACUGUCUUGUUUUUAUAUUUGUA